rnacentral:lncRNA from 1 species
UUACCUCUCACCGAGAUGCACCCAAAGCCUAUCAGCCACAGAUCCAUACCACAAAAGAUGAAAACAUUUUUAAGAAAGAGAUUAAAAAGGAGGGAAAGCAGACAUGAUAUCGCUGGGCAACAGAGAAGCUGGGUGGGAGGGGACCCACAGGCCAACAGCCUCAGCUGCAAACAAUCAAUGACACUCUCCGAGGAGUUCUCAACAGGACAAACAGUGGCUGAUGCUACUUGGGUAAUCAUCAUUAUCUCAGAACCUUCUGGAACCACACCAGCUGCAAAUGAUAUAUCAUCAUCUACCCUCUUGUAGAAAACAAAGAUUUGUCUUG